GAGAACGCCGGCGGCGUGCCUAAUACAUGCAAGUAGAAGCUGAAGCAGGUGCUUGCACCGAGCGGAUGAGUUCCGAACGGGUGAGUAACGCGUAGGUAACCUGCCUCUCAGCGGGGGAUAACUAUUGGAAACGAUAGCUAAACCGCAUAAAAGUCGAUAUCGCAUGAUAUUGAUUUGAAAGGUGCAAAUGCAUCACUAAGAGAUGGACCUGCGUUGUAUUAGCUAGUUGGUGAGGUAACGGCUCACCACGGCGACGAUACAUAGCCGACCUGAGAGGGUGAUCGGCCACACUGGGACUGAGACACGGCCCAGACUCCUACGGGAGGCAGCAGUAGGGAAUCUUCGGCAAUGGGGGCAACCCUGACCGAGCAACGCCGCGUGAGUGAAGAAGGUUUUCGGAUCGUAAAGCUCUGUUGUAAGAGAAGAACGAGUGUGAGAGUGGAAAGUUCACACUGUGACGGUAACUUACCAGAAAGGGACGGCUAACUACGUGCCAGCAGCCGCGGUAAUACGUAGGUCCCGAGCGUUAUCCGGAUUUAUUGGGCGUAAAGCGAGCGCAGGCGGUUAGAUAAGUCUGAAGUUAAAGGCUGUGGCUUAACCAUAGUACGCUUUGGAAACUGUUUAACUUGAGUGCAGAAGGGGAGAGUGGAAUUCCAUGUGUAGCGGUGAAAUGCGUAGAUAUAUGGAGGAACACCGGUGGCGAAAGCGGCUCUCUGGUCUGUAACUGACGCUGAGGCUCGAAAGCGUGGGGAGCAAACAGG
rnacentral:rRNA from 1 species